rnacentral:rRNA from 1 species
UACAUAAUUAUGCGAGAAAGGGGGACCACCCUCUAAGCCUAAGUAUUCCUCAAUGACCAAUAGCGUACAAGUACCAUGUGGGAAAGGUGAAAAGAACCCUAUUUAGGGAGUGCAAUAGAGAACCUGAGAUCCGAUGCGAACAAUUAGUCGAAGAAGCGGAGCUUAAAGCCUUGACUAUUCUAACAGCGUACCUUUUGCAUUAUGGGUCGUGAAAAAAUGGGAACAUCGGCUUAAACCAUUAGGUGUAGGUGCUUUUUAGAGGUUGAAUCUCCGAUCGAUCUAGCCAUGAGUAGGUUGAAGAAAGCUCGACCGAACCCACGUAUGUGACAAAAUACGGGGAUCACUUGUGGCUAGAGGUGAAAGGCCAACCAAGAUCGGAUAUAACUGGGUUUUGGUGAAAUCUAUUUUAGUAGAGCGUAUGAUGUCGAUGGCCUGAGGUAGAGCACUCAAUGGGCUAGGGUGGCCUCACUUAGCCUUACCAACCCUAGGGAAACUCCGAAUACAAGCCUAAAUCAUUUGUACAGACAGACUUUUUGGGUGCUAAGAUCCAAAGUCGAGAGGGAAACAGCCCAGAUCGUACGCUAAGGUCCCUAAGCAAUCACUUAGUGGAAAAGGAAGUGAUCGAGCGAUGACAACCAGGAGGUGGGCUUGGAAGCAGCCAUCCUUUGAAGAAAGCAUAAUAGCUCACUAGUCUAGCUCCAUGGCACCAAAAAUGUAUCAUGGCUCAAGUGAUUCACCGAAGCGACAAGACCUUGAAAGCUGUUUUUUUCAAAUGUCAGUAGCGGGAAAUCCUGUCAAUCGGGGAAGGUUUUUUGUGACAAGACCUGGAGAUAUCAGAAGUGAGAAUGUUGACAUGAGUAACGAGAAUCCUGUGAAAAACAUGAUCGCCUGCCAGUGGAAGGCUUUCUGCGUUCAGUCAAUCUACGCAGAGUGAAUCGGUCCCUAAGGAACCCCUGAAAGGGCUACCAUUCGAUGGGUACACGAAAGUGACGAAGUUGCUUUGACUACAGAACCAUGCCUGUCUGUUGGAGCGAAUUGGAUGAUUGGGCCGAGGGCUUCCCCCUCUUCCUCUCACUCUCAUUUCCCUAAUAUGAACCAUUAGUCAUCAAAGCCUUUCUGACUCGGCCUGGUCUGGUCACCCUACCCGACUAGCGCUUCAAAAGGUGAAACUCUCGUCAUAGUUUGGCGACCAAAGGGGCAGACACCUUUUGUUAUCUAAAGGCGAAGACUCUGAAGUGGGUGAACACUCGGCCCAACGGGCGAACAUGCCAGGCUCUGGCUCCGCGCACCUGCUGACACCUUUAGAAGCACUUUCUAGUGUGCGCUUUAGUUUGAGAAUGUCUCGUUCAGCCUCAUGAGUCUACAAGCCUUUCUCAUUUCAGUGCUCGCCUUUUGAAUCUUCAGUAGGGGCCAUUAGUCUUUUGAUUUGAGUAGGGGUCAUGAGAGAGCAGAGCGUACCGCCCUACCAUAGUCGCGAGUCCGUUUAUAGUCACGACUGUUGUCAUAGUCAACAAGGUGAAAACUUCUUGGGAAAAACUUCGAAUUGGGAGGCGAUCCUCCCGGUGAACUGACCGUACCCUAAACCGACACAAGUGAACAAGUAGAGUAUACUAGGGCGCUUGAGAGAACCAUGUCGAAGGAACUUGGCAAAAUGACCCCGUAACUUCGGGAGAAGGGGCGAUCUCCUAUCUUUUGAUUAGGAAAGCGGCACAUACCAGGGGGUAGCUACUGUUUAUUAAAAACACAGGACUCUGCUAUGUCGUAACAUGAUGUAUAGAGUCUGACACCUGCUCGGUGCUGGAAGGUUGUAAGGAGAAGUGUUAUAAGCUUUGAAUGGAAGCCUCGGUAAACGGCGACAGUAACUCUAACUGUCCUAAGGUAGUGAAAUUCCUUGUUGCAUAAGUAGCAACCUGCACGAAUGGUGUAACGACUGCCCCGCUGUCUCUGACAUGGACCCGAUAAAAUUGAAUUGUUUGUGAAGAUACGGAGUACCAACGGCUAGACGGUAAGACCCCGUGCACCUUAACUAUAGCUUCACAGUGACAACCUUAAUCGAAUGUGUAGGAUAGGUGGGAGGUGGUGAAACACAACGACCAAUUCUGAAAGACCACUCUUUCGUCUAAGGAUGCCUAAUCGCCGCACCGAGAAUUCAGGGCGGGGACACUGCAAGGUGGGUAGUUUAUCUGGGGUGGAUGCCUCCAAAAGAGUAACGGAGGUGUGCGAAGGUAGGCUCAAGCUAAGAUUCUGUUCGUGAGCGUAAUGGUAUAAGCCUGCCUGACUGUGAGACAGAUUGGUCGAACAGAGACGAAAGUCGGCCAUAGUGAUCCGGGAGAUCCGUGUGGAAGGGCUCUCGCUCAACGGAUCAAAGGUACACCGGGGAUAACAGGCUGAUGACUCCCAAGAGCUCUUAUCGAUGGAGUCAUUUGGCACCUCGAUGUCGACACAUCACAUCCUGGGGUUGAAGAAGGUCCCAAGGGUUCGGUUGUACGCCGAUUCAAGUGGUACGUGAGUUGGGUUUAGAACGUCGUAAGACAGUUCGGUAACUAUCUACCGUUGGUGUCAAAGGGAGAACUGCGAGGAGCCAACCCUAGUACGAGAGAACUGGGUUGGGCUAACCUAUGGUGUACUGGUUGUUAUGCCAAUAGCAGCGCUGGGCAGCUAAGUUGGUGUGGAAGAACCGUUGCGCCGCGAGAAAUCCUUCUCUAUACAAGUUCUCGGACGAGGUUUUUGAACAGAACUUUGAUAGGCGAGAGGUGUAAGCACCGCGAGGUGUGAAGCGAUCUCAUACUAAAUGAAACGACUUUCACUU